rnacentral:rRNA from 1 species
GACGAACGCUGGCGGCGUGCUUAACACAUGCAAGUCGAACGGAAAGGCCCUUCGGGGUACUCGAGUGGCGAACGGGUGAGUAACACGUGGGUGAUCUGCCCUGCACUUUGGGAUAAGCCUGGGAAACUGGGUCUAAUACCGAAUAUGAUCAUCAGCUUCAUGGUUGGUGGUGGAAAGCUUUUGCGGUGUGGGAUGGGCCCGCGGCCUAUCAGCUUGUUGGUGGGGUAAUGGCCUACCAAGGCGACGACGGGUAGCCGGCCUGAGAGGGUGACCGGCCACACGGGGACUGAGAUACGGCCCAGACUCCUACGGGAGGCAGCAGUGGGGAAUAUUGCACAAUGGGCGCAAGCCUGAUGCAGCGACGCCGCGUGAGGGAUGACGGCCUUCGGGUUGUAAACCUCUUUCAGCACAGACGAAGCGCAAGUGACGGUAUGUGCAGAGGAAGGACCGGCCAACUACGUGCCAGCCGCCGCAGUAA